UGGGGAAUUUUGGACAAUGGGCGAAAGCCUGAUCCAGCAAUGCCGCGUGUGUGAAGAAGGCCUUCGGGUUGUAAAGCACUUUUGUCCGGAAAGAAAUCCUUGGCUCUAAUACAGUCGGGGGAUGACGGUACCGGAAGAAUAAGCACCAGCUAACUACGUGCCAGCAGCCGCGGUAAUACGUAGGGUGCAAGCGUUAAUCGGAAUUACUGGGCGUAAAGCGUGCGCAGGCGGUUUGCUAAGACCGAUGUGAAAUCCCCGGGCUCAACCUGGGAACUGCAUUGGUGACUGGCAGGCUAGAGUAUGGCAGAGGGGGGUAGAAUUCCACGUGUAGCAGUGAAAUGCGUAGAGAUAUGGAGGAAUACCGAUGGCGAAGGCAGCCCCCUGGGCCAAUACUGACGCUCAUGCACGAAAGCGUGGGGAGCAAACAGGAUUAGAUACCCUGGUAGUCCACGCCCUAAACGAUGUCAACUAGUUGUUGGGGAUUCAUUUCCUUAGUAACGUAGCUAACGCGUGAAGUUGGACCGCCUGGGGAGUACGGUCGCAAGAUUAAAAGCUCAAAGGAUUUGACGGGGGUCAUAGCUGUUUUUCCC
rnacentral:rRNA from 1 species